CCACUUGGUAGCAGGCUCUUUCUCAUCUAUCUCCUCCUCUUUCUAACAUGUUCCCUCUCUCUCUGGCUUGCUUUUUUUUAUAGGCCAGCAUUGUUUCUUUUAUUGCGUUCUUCCAAAAUCACUGCUAUCUUUCUCCUUCCUCCCUAUUCAGUCUUCUUUUAUCUCUCUACAGAGCAAUUACUCUCAAUCUUUCCCCCCUCUAUAUCUGCAAAACACAGUUAUGUCAUCAAGUUCACAUCAUUCAGUCGCUCAACUGUUGUAUUAUUUACUCAACUUUUCAUUUUAAAACUCCAGCAGAACUGCCACACUUGUAAACAUGAACAGUUUCUUGUCUUUCUGCCAAGACAAGACCCUCUUACGUUCCUGGACUGACCUAAAAUCUCUCAAACAGAUCAAAAUCAAUACAAAACUGUAACCUAGAUCUAAAAUAUAUCAUAAAUGCCACAAAUUGAUGACCUAGAACUAAACGUAAUGUUACACAAAAUAUACUGACAGCCAAAUAUUUUUGAAAAUUAUUCCAGAUUUCACACUUACUGAGAGAGAUCUGGAGAUGGGAACCAAAUACAGCAAUAUUAUUAAAAAAAGAUUCCAGGUUACAUACAAGUUUAGUUCGAUCAACAGCAUCAGGUUGAAUUUCAUUCUCCUAAACAACAAAAAAGUGUUACACACUAACAAGGAGCCUAUCAGGGAAGUGUACAGCUGCCUUACGUUCCUGGACUGACCUAAAAUCUCUCAAACAGGAUACAAAAUCAAUACAAAACUGUAACCUAGAUCUAAAAUAUAUCAUAAAUGCCACAAAUUGAUGACCUAGAACUAAACGUAAAUGUUACACAAAAUAAUACUGACAGCCAAAUAAUUUUGUAAAAUUAUUCCAGAUUUCUACACUUACUGAGAGAGAUCUGGAGAUGGGAACCAAAUACAGCAAUAUUAUUAAAAAAAGAUUCCAGGUUACAUACAAGUUUAGUUCGAUCAACAGCAUCAGGUUGAAUUUCAUUCUCCUAAACAAACAAAAAAAGUGUUACACACUAACAAGGGAGCCUAUCAGGGAAGUGUACAGCUGUACUCAUAGACCUCCAAUGUAAGAGCAUUUCCCUUUUCUGAGGUAACAGAAAGAGAUGUGAGUUUGAUCUUUAAUGUUCAAUCCAUUUCUCACUUGUUUUCCCUCUCUCUCGCAUUGUGUGAAGUGUCUUUUCUGUCUUUUUUCACCUGAUCCCUGACAGAUCUUGAAACAGUAACCAAGUAAAGACGCGUAAGAACUACAAAUCCCUGUGGACUGAAUAUCCCUGUGGACUGAAUAAAAUAUUGCCUCAUCCCUCCCUCCGUAUUGUUAUUCAUUAAUUUGCCGAGAACAUCUGAACCCCCCUCCGGUACAGUGCAUUGUUACAAUAAUGCCACGUCAAUCUGUGUAGGUGUGUUAAUAUCCUACUUCCUCUCCAUUACUCUAUUUCUUAUGUCCGAAAAUGGAUGCAUUAUAAUGUCUGAAUCUUAGUCAUCACCCCUGGAGGAGCUCUCCACUACAUUCUGAACUGUGUGGUAGCACUGUUAGUUAUGGAAGCCAGUUUCCACCAUCUUCAAAGUAAAAAAAAAAAAUAUAUAUAUACAUACAUAUAUAAUAAAAUUCAAUUUAAAAGAACUGUUUUCUAUUUUAAUAGAUUUUAAAAUGCUAUUUCUCAAUUUUCAGCAGACAUUACCCCAGUCUACAGAGUCACAUAAUCCUCCAGAAAUCAUUUAAAUAUGCUAAUUUGGUGCUCAAUUGUCAAUCAUAUUUGGUGCUUAAUUAUUAAUAAUGGUUCUUAUUAUUAUCAAUGUUGAAAACAGUUGUGCUGUUUAAUAUUUUUGUUUAAACUGUAAAAUAAUUAAACAUAAACUGUGAUAUAUAUAUAUAUAUAAUUCUUUUGUGAAUAGAAGCAUUUAUUUUAAAUAUAUAUUUUUUGUAAAAGUGUAAUAUUUUUUAUUGUCAAUUUGAUCAAUUAAAUGCAUCCUUGCUGAAAAG
rnacentral:lncRNA from 1 species